rnacentral:rRNA from 1 species
GCAAGUCGAGCGCGCCUUCGGGCGAGCGGCGGACGGGUUAGUAACGCGUGGGAACGUGCCCAGAUCUACGGAAUAGCCACUGGAAACGGUGAGUAAUACCGUAUACGCCCUUCGGGGGAAAGAUUUAUCGGAUUUGGAUCGGCCCGCGUUAGAUUAGGUAGUUGGUGGGGUAACGGCCUACCAAGCCUACGAUCUAUAGCUGGUUUUAGAGGAUGAUCAGCAACACUGGGACUGAGACACGGCCCAGACUCCUACGGGAGGCAGCAGUGGGGAAUCUUGGACAAUGGGGGCAACCCUGAUCCAGCCAUGCCGCGUGAGUGAAGAAGGCCCUAGGGUCGUAAAACUCUUUCGCCUGUGAUGAUAAUGACAGUAGCAGGUAAAGAAACCCCGGCUAACUCCGUGCUAGCAGCCGCGGUAAUACGGAGGGGGUUAGCGUUGUUCGGAAUUACUGGGCGUAAAGCGCACG